rnacentral:rRNA from 1 species
GGUCUCUUGAUUUUUAUAAGAGAUUUGACCUGCCCGGUGAAUAAGGUUUUAACGGCCGCGGUACUUUGACCGUGCAAAGGUAGCAUAAUCAUUAGUCUUUUAAAAGAAGGCUGGAAUGAAAGGUUUGACGAAGAAUUUACUGUCUCAUUUUAUUUGUUUUUAAAAUUUAACUUUUUAGUCAAAAGGCUAAAAUUUAAUUGGUAGACGAGAAGACCCUAUAGAGCUUUAUACUUAAUUGAUUAUUUUUAUUAUAUUAUUUAUUAUUUAUUUUGAUUAAGUAUUUUGUUGGGGUGACAAAAAUAUAUGAUUAACUUUUUUAUUUAAAAUACAUUGAUUUAUGGUUAUUAGAUCCAUUAUUAUUGAUUGGUAGAUUAAGUUACCUUAGGGAUAACAGCGUAAUCCCCUUCCAGAGUUCAUAUUUACAGGGGGGCUUGCGACCUCGAUGUUGGAUUAAGAUUAUAUUUGGGUGUAGCUGCUUAAAUUAUAGGUCUGUUCGACCUUUAAAUUCUU